GUCUACAGCCAUGCCACCCUGAACAAGCCCAAUCCUGUCUGAUCUCGGAAGCUAAGCAGGGUCGGGCCUGGUUAGUACUUGGAUGGGAGACAACCUAGGAAGACCAGAUGCUGUAGGCA
rnacentral:rRNA from 1 species